AAUCUUCCACAAUGGGCGAAAGCCUGAUGGAGCAAUGCCGCGUGAAUGAAGAAGGUCUUCGGAUCGUAAAGUUCUGUUAUUAGAGAAGAACAAGUCAAGGAGUAUCUGUCUUGACUUUGACGGUACCUAACAGAAAGUCACGGCCAUCUACGUUCCAGCAGCCGCGGUAAUACGAAGGUGUCUAGCGUUGUCCGGAAUAAUUGGGCGUAAAGGGAGCGAAGGCGGUUGGAAAAGUAUGAUGUGAAAGCCCACGGCUUAACCGAGGAAGGUCAUUGGAAACUGUCCAACUUGAAUGCAGAAGAGGAAAGUGGAAUUCCAUGUGUAGCGGUGAAAUGCGUAGAUAUAUGGAGGAACACCAGUGGCGAAGGCGACUUUCUGGUCUGUAAUUGACGCUGAGGCUCGAAAGCGUGGGUAGCGAACA
rnacentral:rRNA from 1 species